rnacentral:rRNA from 1 species
ACGGAGGGUGCAAGCGUUAUCCGGAAUCACUGGGUUUAAAGGGUGCGUAGGCGGCUAUGUAAGUCAGGGGUGAAAUCUUUCAGCUUAACUGGAAAAUUGCCUUUGAAACUGUGUAGCUUGAAUAACGUUGAGGUCAGCGGAAUGUGACAUGUAGCGGUGAAAUGCAUAGAUAUGUCAUAGAACACCAAUUGCGAAGGCAGCUGGCUGGGCGUUUAUUGACGCUGAGGCACGAAAGCGUGGGGAGCGAACAGG